rnacentral:rRNA from 1 species
GACGAACGCUGGCGGCGUGCCUAAUACAUGCAAGUCGAGCGGACAGAUGGGAGCUUGCUCCCUGAAGUCAGCGGCGGACGGGUGAGUAACACGUGGGCAACCUGCCUGUAAGUCUGGGAUAACUUCGGGAAACCGGAGCUAAUACCGGAUACGUUCUUUUCUCGCAUGAGAGAAGAUGGAAAGAUGGUCUCGGCUAUCACUUACAGAUGGGCCCGCGGCGCAUUAGCUAGUUGGUGAGGUAAUGGCUCACCAAGGCGACGAUGCGUAGCCGACCUGAGAGGGUGAUCGGCCACACUGGGACUGAGACACGGCCCAGACUCCUACGGGAGGCAGCAGUAGGGAAUCUUCCGCAAUGGACGAAAGUCUGACGGAGCAACGCCGCGUGAACGAUGAAGGCCGUCGGGUCGUAAAGUUCUGUUGUUAGGGAAGAACAAGUACCAGAGUAACUGCUGGUACCUUGACGGUACCUAACCAGAAAGCCACGGCUAACUACGUGCCAGCCGCCGCAGUAAUAC